AUGAACUUUACCACAAAUUCGACGAGGAUCACGAAUAUGUGGUUAUUUUGUAAAAAAUGAUCAAAGGCUAUGCCGUCUAGUGUCAGAAAGAAGAAACGUUCAAAAAUCAAAAGUAAGCAUGAAAACAAUGUCCGCUCUAGCUCGUUGACUGGUUGCACUCAAUUGAAAGAACUGAAAAAAAAGCCACCCCACAGCAUCACACAUCACAACACAAGAAACAAGGUGAUAUGGAUGCCAGUCCUACUUCUAAAACUGUGGAGGAGGCAGUGAUAUCCGUUAUGUGCCUUGUCUGCAAGUGAUUCCAGACGUUUCAGCACUUGGGCAACAGUGCUUUGUGACAGUACUGUUAAAGGAAAAACACCCUUGGCUACAUACUACAAGGCAACAGCAAAUGUAAUCACUAAUGAUGGUGAAGAUGAAAAAUCCUUUCCACACACCUCCCUGUAUGACAACAACAGCAUGUUCCUGGCUCAUUCGAUCUUCACUCUAGGGACUGGGCAUCUAAUUAAGUCUCCCUUUUAGCUUUAUUCCUGUCAUUCUGCACUUUGCCUUACCUGUGAUAAAUGUCUCUUUUUUUCUAUAGGAUUUUAUGGCUAUUCGUAAUUGGAGAGUAGCAUUGGAAUGUGACAGCUUGUCUGGCCUAAAAGUCUUACUAAAUAGAUUCCUUUUGGGAAACUUUGUCUGUCCUCAUGCUAAAUUUUUAUUUUUAUUCAAUUAUCAAAAGAAAAAUCGAAACCCUGUUCACGACUUUGAAGAAAGUGCACUCGUACUACAGAACAACCUCAACAUAUCGAAAGACGAGCGGGAUUAGAUCCUUCGUGUUGUUGCAUUCAUUGGUUUAUCCGAAUUAGGACGCGAGCGACUCUUGUCUCCGGAGGCUCCGUUGUCAGUAUCAUCGAAUCCGAGUAGUGGAACGUGCAACGACGACUGGCAAGGGAAUUUCAAACUUCAGAACGCGUUAGAAUGUUGAUUUCCUGACGUCUCGCAACUGGAAGGAUGAGGAUCAAGUCGACAUGUCACAUGUCACAUUUAAAUCGCAACAUCGACAUCACAACGCUUUACUAAAUCUCUGGUCGAAGUGUCACUGCUCACACGAUGAUUGUAAUUGCUUGUGAUCGAUGUUGAAAUUCGUUUAUUGCAACACGCAGUAAAUAAAAGAAGAGACAAAAAUUUCAAAAUGAUAUUGUAUGGGUAUCGCGCAAAAAUAUUCUUCGUGUUGGCUUUCGUUAUUUUAUUUGUUUAUUCAUUUAUUUGGUUUCAUAUUAAACCAAAAAGUAAACAUUUAGAAAGUAGUAGAAAACUUUCAUGUUGAAGAAAAUUCGCAAAAAAUAAGCUGCAUAAAAAGACUACUACAAAAAGAAUCUAGCGAUUCCUAUCCUAAAUUGUGAACUUUAAGUACGGUCUUGACCAACUUUAUUCUGCAUCAUCCCAUUGUGUUAUGUGAUUAGGCUUCUCUCCUGACGCAUGGCGUUGC